AACGCAUAUUGCGCCCUUUGGUAUUCCGAAGGGCAUACCUGUUCGAGCGUCAUUACACCCCUCAAAGAUAACUCUUUGGCGUUGGGCAAUGCCUAAAGGCAUGCCUCAAAAUCAGCGAUGGUGAUAUUCAACCGCAGGCGCACAAUGUCGUCUAGCUAGCAGAAUGUUGUCAGUCAACUGAUAAAUUUCUAAAUGUUGACCUCGGAUCAGGUAGGAAUACCCGCUGAACUUAA
rnacentral:misc_RNA from 1 species